rnacentral:rRNA from 1 species
AUUGAACGCUGGCGGCAUGCUUUACACAUGCAAGUCGAACGGUAACAGGCCUUCGGGUGCUGACGAGUGGCGAACGGGUGAGUAAUGCAUCGGAACGUGCCCAGAGGUGGGGGAUAACGCAGCGAAAGCUGUGCUAAUACCGCAUGUGAUCUGAGGAUGAAAGCGGGGGACCAGGCAGCAAUGUUUGGCCUCGCGCCUUUGGAGCGGCCGAUGUCAGAUUAGUUAGUUGGUGGGGUAAAGGCCUACCAAGCCGACGAUCUGUAGCUGGUCUGAGAGGACGACCAGCCACACUGGGACUGAGACACGGCCCAGACUCCUACGGGAGGCAGCAGUGGGGAAUUUUGGACAAUGGGCGCAAGCCUGAUCCAGCAAUGCCGCGUGCGGGAAGAAGGCCUUCGGGUUGUAAACCGCUUUUGUACGGAACGAAAAGGCUCUGGCUAAUACCUGGGGCUGAUGACGGUACCGUAAGAAUAAGCACCGGCUAACUACGUG